GUUCAACCGUCUAGGAACCGCCAACUGUCCUCCACACGGUCGCGCCGUUUUGCGUUCCCGCCAGCAAUGGGUGUGAACACAGUGGGACACAGUGUUCAUCACAAGUGUGUGUGUUCAUCACUUCCACACGCCACCCUGCGCUCAUCACAGUUUAGACGCCUCCCCCACCGACCACCGUUUUUCUCACCGAAUCGCUGUGGCUAGGACUCCCAGUACUUACGCUGAACAACAGUGGUUGCGCACCUUUUCCCGGCCCAGCGGAGUGGACCCAGCAGUUGAGAUCUGCGUGUCGCAGGUAGAAGUACACUCUGAAAUACUGUCUGUCUGAUCCUUCGCAGAAGUCUGGAGACACCUGCACGGCUGUUUCUAAGUUUUGGAGGGGAGGGGUGGGCUAGG